rnacentral:tRNA from 1 species
GUCUUAUUAGUUUAUAAAAAAAAUUUUGAUUUGUGACAUCAAAGAAAUUCUUUGAAUAUAAGGCC